rnacentral:rRNA from 1 species
GACGAACGCUGGCGGCGUGCUUAGCACAUGCAAGUCGAACGGAAAGGCCCUGCUUUUGUGGGGUGCUCGAGUGGCGAACGGGUGAGUAACACGUGAGUAACCUGCCCUUGACUUUGGGAUAACUUCAGGAAACUGGGGCUAAUACCGGAUAGGAUCUCCUGCUGCAUGGUGGGGGUUGGAAAGUUUCGGCGGUUGGGGAUGGACUCGCGGCUUAUCGGCUUGUUGGUGGGGUAGUGGCUUACCAAGGCUUUGACGGGUAGCCGGCCUGAGAGGGUGACCGGCCACAUUGGGACUGAGAUACGGCCCAGACUCCUACGGGAGGCAGCAGUGGGGAAUAUUGCACAAUGGGCGGAAGCCUGAUGCAGCAACGCCGCGUGCGGGAUGACGGCCUUCGGGUUGUAAACCGCUUUCGCCUGUGACGAAGCGUGAGUGACGGUAAUGGGUAAAGAAGCACCGGCUAACUACGUG